UCAACAGGGGGAAAGGAGGAUAAAAUAGUUAAGUAGGAAAGGGUUAAAAGAAGAAAGGAAAUAAUGUGGGGAAACACCUAGCAGCUGAACAAUUGUAUCUGCACAAUUGUAUCCUCAAUGAAGCCAAAUGACCUUAGCUUUUUCUAAAGAUUUGUAAAAUAAUGGAAGUAAACUUAUAAUAAGGAAACUGAAAUCUAUGGGAUCCACAUCUGCUUUUAAACUUGAUACCAUAGGAAAAUUUAGAUAUUUAAUGAAUCGCUGAUCAUACAGAAACAAAAUAUGGGUGGAUUGCUAAUCAUUAUAUGUCCUUUAAUAUUUCCAACAACUUGUAAAACCUCCAAACUU
rnacentral:lncRNA from 1 species